rnacentral:lncRNA from 1 species
AAAUAGCGUCAAAUAUUGCCUCCUGUUCUCCUUCUGCUGUGACCUCUAGAGGCGGCCACAUCGGUAAAUCCUAUUAUUUAGAAUAAUAAAUUUAUCUGGAAUAUACUUCGAUAGUUAUUCACACAAAUUUAUUACAGUAUCAGAAGCAUAAGAAAUGUUCGGAAUACGGCGUACGUUGAGUAUAUAAAAAAAUUUUCUCUUGUUUAUAAGUGUCGUCCCCUCAUGCGCGAAAAAAUGGAUAAAUAGCGUGAAAUAUUGCUUCCUGCGCUCAUUCUGCUCUGACCUCUAAAAGCGACCACAUCGGUAAAUCGUAUUAUUUUAUGUAUUAAAUUUAUCUGGAAUAUACUUUUAUAGUUAUUCACACAAAUUUAUUACAGUAUCAGAAGCAUAAUAAAUGUUCGGAAUACUGCGUACGUUGAGUAUAUAAAAAAAUUUUCUCUUGUUUAUAAGUGCGUCUGCGCAUGCGCGAAAAAUGGAUAAAUAGCGUGAAAUAUUGCUUCCUGUGCUCAUUCUGCUGUGACCUCUAGAGGCGACCACAUCGGUAAAUCGUAUUAUUUUAUGUAUUAAAUUUAUCUGGAAUAUACUUGUAUAGUUAUUCACACAAAUUUAUUGCAGUAUCAGAAGCAUAAGAAAUGUUCGGAAUACGGCGUACGUUGAGUAUAUAAAAAAAUUUUCUCUUGUUUAUAAGUGCGUCUGCGCAUGCGCGAAAAAUGGAUAAAUAGCGUGAAAUAUUGCUUCCUGUGCUCAUUCUGCUGUGACCUCUAGAGGCGGCCACAUGGUAUCAGAAGUAAACUAGAGAUUCAGAAUACUGUGCAAGUUGAGUUUAUAAAAGAAUUUUCUCUUGUUUAUAAGUGCGUCUGCGCAUGCGCGAAAAAUGGAUAAAUAGCGUGAAAUAUUGCUUCCUGUGCUCAUUCUGCUGUGACCUCUAGAGGCGGCCACAUGGUAUCAGAAGUAAACUAGAGAUUCAGAAUACUGUGCAAGUUGAGUUUAUAAAAGAAUUUUCUCUGGUUUAUAAGUGUCGUCCCCUCAUGCGCAAAAAAUGGAUAAAUAGCGUCAAAUAUUGCCUCCUGUUCUCCUUCUGCUGUGACCUCUAGAGGCGGCCACAUCGUAUCAGAAGCAUAAUAAAUGUUCAGAAUACUGUGCAAGUUGAGUUUAUAAAAAAAUUUUCUCUGGUUUCUAAGUGUCGUCUGCGCAUGCAAGAAGAAAAUGUAUGAAGAGUAUGUAAUAUUGGUUCCUGCGCUCAUUCUGAAUUGACCUGUGGAAGCGGACAAAUCUUAUCAGAAGCAUAAUAAAUGUUCGGAAUACUGCGUACGUUGAGUAUAUAAAAAAAUUUUCUCUUGUUUAUAAGUGCGUCUGCUCAUGCGCGAAAAAUGGAUAAAUAGCGUGAAAUAUUGCUUCCUGUGCUCAUUCUGCUGUGACCUCUAGAGGCGACCACAUCGGUAAAUCGUAUUAUUUUAUGUAUUAAAUUUAUCUGGAAUAUACUUUUAUAGUUAUUCACACAAAUUUAUUACAGUAUCAGAAGCAUAAGAAAUGUUCGGAAUACGGCGUACGUUGAGUAUAUAAAAAAAAUGUUCUCUUGUUUAUAAGUUUCGUCUGUGCAUGCGCCAAAAAGGGAUAACUAGGGUGAAAUAUUGCUUCCUGUGCUCAUUCUGCUGUGACCUCUAGAGGCGACCACAUCGUAUCAGAAGCAUAAGAAAUGUUCGGAAUACGGCGUACGUUGAGUAUAUAAAAAAAUUUUCUCUUGUUUAUAAGUGCGUCUGCGCAUGCGCGAAAAAUGGAUAAAUAGCGUGAAAUAUUGCUUCCUGUGCUCAUUCUGCUGUGACCUCUAGAGGCGGCCACAUGGUAUCAGAAGUAAACUAGAGAUUCAGAAUACUGUGCAAGUUGAGUUUAUAAAAGAAUUUUCUCUUGUUUAUAAGUGCGUCUGCGCAUGCGCGAAAAAUGGAUAAAUAGCGUGAAAUAUUGCUUCCUGUGCUCAUUCUGCUGUGACCUCUAGAGGCGGCCACAUGGUAUCAGAAGUAAACUAGAGAUUCAGAAUACUGUGCAAGUUGAGUUUAUAAAAGAAUUUUCUCUGGUUUAUAAGUGUCGUCCCCUCAUGCGCAAAAAAUGGAUAAAUAGCGUCAAAUAUUGCCUCCUGUUCUCCUUCUGCUGUGACCUCUAGAGGCGGCCACAUCGUAUCAGAAGCAUAAUAAAUGUUCAGAAUACUGUGCAAGUUGAGUUUAUAAAAAAAUUUUCUCUGGUUUCUAAGUGUCGUCUGCGCAUGCAAGAAGAAAAUGUAUGAAGAGUAUGUAAUAUUGGUUCCUGCGCUCAUUCUGAAUUGACCUGUGGAAGCGGACAAAUCUUAUCAGAAGCAUAAUAAAUGUUCGGAAUACUGCGUACGUUGAGUAUAUAAAAAAAUUUUCUCUUGUUUAUAAGUGCGUCUGCUCAUGCGCGAAAAAUGGAUAAAUAGCGUGAAAUAUUGCUUCCUGUGCUCAUUCUGCUGUGACCUCUAGAGGCGACCACAUCGGUAAAUCGUAUUAUUUUAUGUAUUAAAUUUAUCUGGAAUAUACUUUUAUAGUUAUUCACACAAAUUUAUUACAGUAUCAGAAGCAUAAGAAAUGUUCGGAAUACGGCGUACGUUGAGUAUAUAAAAAAAAUGUUCUCUUGUUUAUAAGUUUCGUCUGUGCAUGCGCCAAAAAAGGGAUAACUAGGGUGAAAUAUUGCUUCCUGUGCUCAUUCUGCUGUGACCUCUAGAGGCGACCACAUCGUAUCAGAAGCAUAAGAAAUGUUCGGAAUACGGCGUACGUUGAGUAUAUAAAAAAAUUUUCUCUUGUUUAUAAGUGCGUCUGCGCAUGCGCGAAAAAUGGAUAAAUAGCGUGAAAUAUUGCUUCCUGUGCUCAUUCUGCUGUGACCUCUAGAGGCGGCCACAUGGUAUCAGAAGUAAACUAGAGAUUCAGAAUACUGUGCAAGUUGAGUUUAUAAAAGAAUUUUCUCUUGUUUAUAAGUGCGUCUGCGCAUGCGCGAAAAAUGGAUAAAUAGCGUGAAAUAUUGCUUCCUGUGCUCAUUCUGCUGUGACCUCUAGAGGCGGCCACAUGGUAUCAGAAGUAAACUAGAGAUUCAGAAUACUGUGCAAGUUGAGUUUAUAAAAGAAUUUUCUCUUGUUUAUAAGUGCGUCUGCGCAUGCGCGAAAAAUGGAUAAAUAGCGUGAAAUAUUGCUUCCUGUGCUCAUUCUGCUGUGACCUCUAGAGGCGGCCACAUGGUAUCAGAAGUAAACUAGAGAUUCAGAAUACUGUGCAAGUUGAGUUUAUAAAAGAAUUUUCUCUGGUUUAUAAGUGUCGUCCCCUCAUGCGCAAAAAAUGGAUAAAUAGCGUCAAAUAUUGCCUCCUGUUCUCCUUCUGCUGUGACCUCUAGAGGCGGCCACAUCGUAUCAGAAGCAUAAUAAAUGUUCAGAAUACUGUGCAAGUUGAGUUUAUAAAAAAAUUUUCUCUGGUUUCUAAGUGUCGUCUGCGCAUGCAAGAAGAAAAUGUAUGAAGAGUAUGUAAUAUUGGUUCCUGCGCUCAUUCUGAAUUGACCUCUGGAAGCGGUCAAAUCUGUAAACCCAAUUAUUUUAAAUAUUAAAUUUAUCUGGAAUAUCCUUUUAUAUUUAU